GUGGGGAAUAUUGGACAAUGGGCGAAAGCCUGAUCCAGCCAUGCCGCGUGUGUGAAGAAGGUCUUCGGAUUGUAAAGCACUUUAAGUUGGGAGGAAGGGCAGUAAGUUAAUACCUUGCUGUUUUGACGUUACCGACAGAAUAAGCACCGGCUAACUUCGUGCCAGCAGCCGCGGUAAUACGAAGGGUGCAAGCGUUAAUCGGAAUUACUGGGCGUAAAGCGCGCGUAGGUGGUUUUGUAAGUUAGAGGUGAAAUCCCCGGGCUCAACCUGGGAACUGCCUCCAAAACUGCAUGACUAGAGUACGGUAGAGGGUAGUGGAAUUUCCUGUGUAGCGGUGAAAUGCGUAGAUAUAGGAAGGAACACCAGUGGCGAAGGCGACUACCUGGACUGAUACUGACACUGAGGUGCGAAAGCGUGGGGAGCAAACAGGAUUAGAAACCCCUGUAGUCC
rnacentral:rRNA from 1 species